rnacentral:lncRNA from 1 species
AAAGCCCCGAGCAGUCGUCGCCGCUCGGAAGUCUCCAGUUGCGCAAACCCCUCACGCCCUGAGACACAGAGGACCACGUGGAUCGUGUGCCACUCCUCCCCGGGCGCGAUCAACAACCAGGGAGCUAGUGAUUGCUCACCGGAGUCUAGAAACUGCGCCAAGCAAUUUUUCCAUCGUGAACCCGCUCGGUCGUCGCUUAAUCCUCCGGUGAGACACGUCCCACCGAAUUCACUUCUCAUCUGCUGCGGUUAACGCUUAUCGGAUCGGUGCGGAUACCCCGGGGUAGGGUUUUGGUUUACUCGGCAAUGGAUCGUCGCAGGUGUUGCGCUGCCGCCGUCCAGUCGGCCAGGGAAGAAGAAAGCUCUGGUGCCGUCUGAUCUCCUUUAGAUGGCUCAGAUUAGAUAUCGAAUACCCUUUCGCCCACUUUCGAUCUAAAUCGUAGAUCUACAAAUGGGCGGAUCUGAUCGUGACUUGCCACGUCCUUGAUUUGGGCUGGGGGAUCACGAUCCAACGGCCGAAAGCGCAUACCGAUUCAUAACCCCCGUCGAUCGAAUCGUGACCGUCCACUCAUGAUGUGGCGGCCAGGGUUUCUAGAUACCCCUUCGGCCCGACCUUUUUACUAAAGAGACCCCGAAUUUAUUUACAAUUAACCUGCCGUCCUUAGUAGUGAGAGAAUAAUUGAAGUUUAGUCCUGUUAUUUAUAAGUUAGCCCCCACGCUUUCCAGUAAUUCUGCGCGCAGUCCAGAGGGCUGGAAAAUAGGAUAAAACCAAUAUAGAAAAUAAUUUUAGUAUUAAAAUAAUUCCAAAAACUUGUUUAAAUCAUAGUAAACUCAUUUUAAUUUCUUUUUGACCCAUUCUAGUUGCUAUAAUCUUGUUUUAAUAUUUUUUAUCACCUGGUAACUCUGUUUUGUCAUGAAACAUAGGCUAAAAUUAUUCAUUUAGUUUAAUCUAUACCAAUCACUUAAUAACUUCAGAAAAUUGUAACUCGAUAAUCGUAACUCCAAAUUUAGUGAUUCUUGUUCCUGCGAUCUCGUUAUGAUGCGUAGAAUAUUAUUAUGCAGUAGGGUCUCAUGUUUGGUGUGAUGUUAAUUUCUCCUGUACCAUGUUUGUUUGUAUUGUUGGCAAUAGACGAGCAAGCCACUGAGGACCCCGGUGUUCAACAAGUGGAUAAUUCUGAGCAAGAGGUCGUUGAAGGCAAGUUGUGCCCUUGACCACUUUUAUUUACCCAAUAAUGUUCUCUCUAAUCAUUAUGGCAUGAUUAGGCUUAAUUUUGAUGGGAACCCAAUAGGUCACCCUAGUAUGCUUUAUCUUGUGCCUUGAUCACCACUGAACUUUUUGGGUAGUCUUGCUAGUGCUAUAUGUGCUUUUGGGUGUUGAGAUAAAUUUGGCACAUGAUCAUUCCUUAUUAUUACUAUUUAUUAUUUAUUGUUCAUGAUAAGAUUAUUGUGUUAAUUGGAACAUGGAGAACCACCUGGGAAAACAGUGCUACCACAAGGGUGGAAUGGGACACCCUUGGCCAAGUAACAUUGCUUGGCCAAGUAAAAGCAAUGCUCAGCUUCAACCAUUAUUUAUUGAUCAGCCUUACAUAUCACAUGGGCUCACACCUUUGGUGAGUUCAUGCACAUUAUUCCCCACAACUUGUUGAGCUAUGAUCUUUUGUGAGCUUACCCUUAUGAUAUAUAAACCCCCACAAGAGAAGAACGGGUGGUCCAGGAGGAGCCUUACAAUGAAGAGUACGAGCUUAUCUAGGUGGCGUCUCCUAGUCAGCUUGAUGGCGCCAAGAAAUAAUACUUAGUUCUCUUUAUUGUUCUCAUUUAUUUUUAUAAGACUUCCGCUAUGUAAUAAUGAUACUUGUGACAUUUAUCUCUAUAUACUUUGUUAUUAUAUGUGGUGUACUUCUUUGGCGCACAUAUGAGAUGCACCCGGCUUUAUCCCUUAAAUCCGGGUGUGAUAGUUACCGGCCUGCUACACAAAGACACAGACCAGCCCUCCCCCACCCCCACUCAGCCACUCCCCAGCGCCAGAGGCCCAGCCCACAAAUGCCUUGUGCCCUCGCCCGUCGUGGCCAUAUAACCCUAACCCUAACGCCACUCUGCCCACUCGCUCCACUCCUAUUCUCACGCCUCUCCGCUUGGCGCUUGUGGCUCGCCUCUCGCUCAGUCGCUCUCGAUCUCUCCGCUGCGCUCUUGCAUCGCCUCUCAUCGUCUCUCGAACCCUCCAGAUUUCGGUGCUCCUUACCUCUAUGCGAUUGGCCUACCUUGCCUCCAUCAUCGUCGCCUCAUCGGUUUCGGUCAUUCUGACGUGCUGGUGCUCGGGUGGCCUGGUGCUCGUGCUCCUGCUCCGGCUCCUCCAGUCCUCCCCCUCUGACCUCUGUACCUCAACCUCAAAGGCACCAGCGCCGACGGCUGUGAACUGGUGCUUGGUGCUUCGGAUCUGCUCCUGACUGUGAGGUGUGUGGAUCCGUGAGGAACCAGUGCGCAUCGGCUCCAACCGUCUCCAUGGCAAGUUGGCGACGGAACCAGUGCUCCAGAUCUAUUGCGCACUGGUGACAUCUCCCUGUCCAGCACAGAGGUAACCAGAUCUGCUCUGGAUCUACUGCUCACUAGUGUUCAUCUGCUCUCCUCUGUUAAGCUCCUAAUCUAGUUGUUGUGUGAUGAACUGAUGAACUGCUAUUUCUUGGAAUCCUGAUCUGCUUGUUGUGCUCUAGAUGUACUGGUAACACCAUCGACGAGCCGUGUUUGGCAUAGAGCCACAGAGGUAACCUGAUCUUGAUCUGUUGUUUAGGUUUGAAUCCUAUGAAGUGUUGUUUAGGGUUUGGGAUUUUUAUUCCUAUGAAUAAAGGUGGCUUUGUUGAUCUGUUGUUUAGGUGUUUUUGAUCUAUUGUUUAGGCCUUUAGGGUUUAGGUGUUGACUGUUGAUCUAUUGCUUAGGUGAUUUUGAUUUGUUCUGUUGGCUAUUGUUUAGGUCGUUACAAAUAUAUACUGUGAAUUGUGAUUUGUGUAAGUGUGAAGGUGAAGCUAACAAGUUGUUGAUCUGUUCUAUUAAUCAUUCUUUAGGUGUUGAUCUGUUGUUAGGUCUCAUCUGUGUGAGGCAUAUAGCUUUGACCUCAUAUACUUGUGAAUUGUGAUCGGUGUAAGUGUGAAGCUGAAGCUGACAAGCUGUUGAUCUGUUCUGAUUUGUUCUGAGCUGACAAGCUGACCAACUGUCACAGGUAAAAGAAAACAAAACUGGGGUUGAUUUAUGCAUCUGAUUGUACCUCUGAGUUCCCAUAUCCUGGUUCUACCACACCUAACCUUGGUAGUGGAACAUCAGCAUCUGCUUUGCUUCAAUAAGCAAACUCUAGUGCUGGCCUUAGUUCACUUGACACAGAGAUGUCCUCCUACCUGGAUAGUGACACUUUGUAGAAGUUUGAUGAGGACUUCAAUAUCCUAAAAUGGUGGCAUGAACAUAAGUUGUCCUAUCCUGUUCUCUCCAUCUUAGCUAGGUAUGUUAUUUCUGUUCCUGUUUCAACUAUAUCCUUAGAAUCUGCAUUUAGUCUCUAUAGCAGGAUAAUCGAGGAACGAUGAAGGCGCCUAGCACCAGAAAUGGUAGAGAUGCUUCUUUGCAUGAAAGACUAGGAACUUGGUGAAGCUAGAGGGCAGCACUG